CAAGGGACGCUGAAGGGCACUGUUUAAAAAUGCUAUUUGCUGUACACUGAAAUAAACUUUUAUUUGUAUUCACCCAAAAAAAAAAAAUUUAUUUCUUAGGAAGUNCUUCCUCUAUUUUUCAUUGCACGGGGAAAACGCGUAGUCUAGUGCACAGCAUGGGUCAGCUAUGCUUGUUCUCUUUCAAUUCUUUCAUGAAGAAAUUACAGGCCAGCAAAGCCGCCCCAACAGCUGGUUCCACCUGUGGUCUAACCGGAUAAGCCCCAGGGAAGAACUCCUGAAUGCAUUUCACAACUUCUUUUCCUA
rnacentral:misc_RNA from 1 species